rnacentral:rRNA from 1 species
GACGAACGCUGGCGGCGUGCUUAACACAUGCAAGUCGAACGGAAAGGCCCUGCUUUUGUGGGGUGCUCGAGUGGCGAACGGGUGAGUAACACGUGAGUAACCUGCCCUUGACUUUGGGAUAACUUCAGGAAACUGGGGCUAAUACCGGAUAGGAGCUCCUGCUGCAUGGUGGGGGUUGGAAAGUUUCGGCGGUUGGGGAUGGACGCGCGGCUGAUCAGCUUGCUGGUGGGGUAGGGGCUUACCGAGGCUUGGACGGAUAGCCGGCCGGGGAGGGUGGCCGGCCACAUUGGGCCUGCGAGACGGCCCAGUCUCCUAUGUUAGGCAGCAGUCGGGAAUAUUGCCCAAUCGGCGCACGCCUGUGGCAGCAACGCCGCGUUUGUGAUGACGGCUUGCUGGUUGUAAACCGCUUUCGCCUGUGACGACGCGUUAGUGACGGUACUGGGUAAAUAAGCACCGGCUAACUACGUG